rnacentral:rRNA from 1 species
AUUGAACGCUGGCGGCAUGCCUUACACAUGCAAGUCGAACGGCAGCAUGGAAGAGCUUGCUCUUCUGAUGGCGAGUGGCGAACGGGUGAGUAAAGCAUCGGAACGUACCGUGUAAUGGGGGAUAACGUAGCGAAAGUUACGCUAAUACCGCAUACGACCUGAGGGUGAAAGCAGGGGAUCGCAAGACCUUGCGUUAUACGAGCGGCCGAUGUCAGAUUAGCUAGUUGGUAGGGUAAAGGCCUACCAAGGCGACGAUCUGUAGCGGGUCUGAGAGGAGGAUCCGCCACACUGGGACUGAGACACGGCCCAGACUCCUACGGGAGGCAGCAGUGGGGAAUUUUGGACAAUGGGGGCAACCCUGAUCCAGCCAUGCCGCGUGAGUGAAGAAGGCCUUCGGGUUGUAAAGCUCUUUCGGCCGGGAAGAAAUCGCACAGGCUAAUACUCUGUGUGGAUGACGGUACCGGCAUAAGAAGCACCGGCUAACUACGUGCCAGCCGCCGCAGUAA